CGCCGCGUGGAGGAUGAAGCUCCUUGGAGUAUAAACUCCUUUCGACCGGGACGAUAAUGACGGUACCGGUGGAAGAAGCACCGGCUAACUCUGUGC
rnacentral:rRNA from 1 species